GACGAACGCUGGCGGCGUGCUUAACACAUGCAAGUCGAACGGAAAGGCCCUGCUUUUGUGGGGUGCUCGAGUGGCGAACGGGUGAGUAACACGUGAGUAACCUGCCCUUGACUUUGGGAUAACUUCAGGAAACUGGGGCUAAUACCGGAUAGGAGCUCCUGCUGCAUGGUGGGGGUUGGAAAGUUUCGGCGGUUGGGGAUGGACUCGCGGCUUAUCAGCUUGUUGGUGGGGUAGUGGCUUACCAAGGCUUUGACGGGUAGCCGGCCUGAGAGGGUGACCGGCCACAUUGGGACUGAGAUACGGCCCAGACUCCUACGGGAGGCAGCAGUGGGGAAUAUUGCACAAUGGGCGGAAGCCGAUGCAGCAACGCCGCGUGCGGGAUGACGGCCUUCGGGUUGUAAACCGCUUUCGCCUGUGACGAAGCGUGAGUGACGGUAAUGGGUAAAGAAGCACCGGCUAACUACGUG
rnacentral:rRNA from 1 species